GUGGGGAAUAUUGGGCAAUGGGCGAAAGCCUGACCCAGCAACGCCGCGUGAAGGAAGAAGGUCUUCGGAUCGUAAACUUCUAUCCUUGGUGAAGAUAAUGACGGUAGCCGAGAAGGAAGCCCCGGCUAACUACGUGCCAGCAGCCGCGGUAAUACGUAGGGGGCAAGCGUUGUCCGGAAUGAUUGGGCGUAAAGGGCGCGUAGGCGGCCUGGUAAGUCUGGAGUGAAAGUCCUGCUUUUAAGGUGGGAAUUGCUUUGGAUACUGUCGGGCUUGAGUGCAGGAGAGGUAAGUGGAAUUCCCGGUGUAGCGGUGAAAUGCGUAGAGAUCGGGAGGAACACCAGUGGCGAAGGCGACUUACUGGACUGUAACUGACGCUGAGGCGCGAAAGUGUGGGGAGCAAACAGGAUUAGAACCCGUGUAGUCC
rnacentral:rRNA from 1 species